AUUGAACGCUGGCGGCAGGCCUAACACAUGCAAGUCGAGCGAGCGGCGGACGGGUGAGUAAUGUAUGGGGACUGCCCGAUAGAGGGGGAUAACUACUGGAAACGGUAGCUAAUACCGCAUACUAUCGGAUAACCCAUAUGGGAUUAGCUAGUAGGUGAGGUAAUGGCUCACCUAGGCGACGAUCCCUAGCUGGUCUGAGAGGAUGAUCAGCCACACUGGGACUGAGACACGGCCCAGACUCCUACGGAGGCAGCAGUGGGGAAUAUUGCACAAUGGGCGCAAGCCUGAUGCAGCCAUGCCGCGUGUAUGAAGAAGGCCCUAGGGUUGUAAAGUACUUUCGGUAGAGAAGCGGUAGCGACAGAAUAAGCACCGGCUAACUCCGUGCCAGCAGCCGCGGUAAUAC
rnacentral:rRNA from 1 species